rnacentral:rRNA from 1 species
UGGGGAAUAUUGGACAAUGGGCGAAAGCCUGAUCCAGCCAUGCCGCGUGUGUGAAGAAGGUCUUCGGAUUGUAAAGCACUUUAAGUUGGGAGGAAGGGCAGUAAGCGAAUACCUUGCUGUUUUGACGUUACCGACAGAAUAAGCACCGGCUAACUCUGUGCCAGCAGCCGCGGUAAUACAGAGGGUGCAAGCGUUAAUCGGAAUUACUGGGCGUAAAGCGCGCGUAGGUGGUUCGUUAAGUUGAAUGUGAAAGCCCCGGGCUCAACCUGGGAACUGCAUCCAAAACUGGCGAGCUAGAGUAGGGCAGAGGGUGGUGGAAUUUCCCGUGUAGCGGUGAAAGGCGUAGAUAUAGGAAGGAACACCAGUGGCGAAGGCGACCACCUGGGCUCAUAAUGACACUGAGGUGCGAAAGCGUGGGGAGCAAACAGG